rnacentral:rRNA from 1 species
GAGUUUGAUCAUGGCUCAGGACGAACGCUGGCGGCGUGCCUAACACAUGCAAGUCGAGCGAGGUCCAACUAGUAGCAAUACUGGGGAAGACCUAGCGGCGAACGGGUAAAAAAAAAAUGAGAAACCUGCCCCGAAGUCUGGGAUAAGCCUGGGAAACCGGGUCUAAUACCGGAUACCCCCUCCGGAUCGCAUGGUCUGGAGAGGAAAGAACUUCGCUUCGGGAGGGUCUCGCGGCCUAUCAGUUAGUUGGUGAGGUAACGGCUCACCAAGGCAUCGACGGGUAGCUGGUCUGAGAGGACGAUCAGCCACACUGGGACUGAGACACGGCCCAGACUCCUACGGGAGGCAGCAGUGGGGAAUCUUGCGCAAUGGGCGAAAGCCUGACGCAGCAACGCCGCGUGCGGGACGAAGG